AUUGAACGCUGGCGGCAGGCUUAACACAUGCAAGUCGAACGAGUGGCGGACGGGUGAGUAAUGCUUGGGAAUCUAGCUUAUGGAGGGGGAUAACUACGGGAAACUGUAGCUAAUACCGCGUACCAUAGGAUGAGCCCAAGUGGGAUUAGGUAGUUGGUGAGGUAAAGGCUCACCAAGCCGACGAUCUCUAGCUGGUCUGAGAGGAUGACCAGACACACGGGGACUUAGACACGGCCAAGACUCCUACGGGAGGCAGCAGGGGGGAAUAUUGCGAAAUGGGGGCAACCUGACGCAGCCAUGUCGCUUGAAGGAAGAAGGCCUUCGGUUUGUAAAGUUCUUUCGGUAGCGAGGCGUUAACUACAGAAGAAGCACCGGCUAACUCCGUGCCAGCAGCCGCGGUAAUAC
rnacentral:rRNA from 1 species